rnacentral:rRNA from 1 species
GCUGGCGGCACGCCUAACACAUGCAAGUCGAACGCAGUAGCAAUACUGAGUGGCAAACGGGUGAGUAUAAUGUGGGAAUCUGCCUUUUGGUUUGGAAUAACACGGGGAAACUUGUGCUAAUACCGAAUAAGCCCUUACGGGGAAAGUUUUAACGCCGAAAGAUGAGCCCGCACUUGAUUAGCUAGUUGGUAAGGUAAUAGCUUACCAAGGCAACGAUCAAUAGCUGUUCUUAGAGGAAGACCAGCCACAUUGGGACUGAGACACGGCCCAGACUCCUACGGGAGGCAGCAGUGGGGAAUCUUGCACAAUGGGGGAAACCCUGAUGCAGCGAUGCCGCGUGAGUGAAGAAGGCCUUUGGGUUGUAAAACUCUUUCGUCGGGGAAGAAAAUGACUGUACCCGAAUAAGAAGGUCCGGCUAACUUCGUGCCAGCAGCCGCGGUAAUACGAAGGGACCUAGCGUAGUUCGGAAUUACUGGGCUUAAAGAGCUCGUAGGUGGUUAAAAAAGUUGAUGGUGAAAUCCCAAGGCUCAACCUUGGAACUGCCAUCAAAACUUUUUAGCUAGAGUGUGAUAGAGGUAAGUGGAAUUUCUAGUGUAGAGGUGAAAUUCGUAGAUAUUAGAAAGAACACCAAAUGCGAAGGCAACUUACUGGGUCACUACUGACACUGAGGAGCGAAAGCAUGGGUAGCGAAGAGGAUUAGAUACCCUCGUAGUCCAUGCCGUAAACGAUGAGUGCUAGACGUUGGGAAUAUAUUUUUCAGUGUCGCAGCGAAAGCAUUAAGCACUCCGCC